UAAUACGAGGGGGGCAAGCGUUGUCCGGAUUUAUUGGGCGUAAAGAGUUCGUAGGCUGAUUGGUCAGUCGAAAUUUAAAUCCCACGGCUUAACCGUGGAUCCGAUUUCGAUACUGCCAAUCUUGAGUGAGGUAGGGGUAAGCGGAAUUCCUGGUGUAGCGGUGAAAUGCGUAGAUAUCAGGAGGAACACCAAAAGCGAAGGCAGCUUACUGGACCUAUACUGACGCUGAGGAACGAAAGCGUGGGGAGCAAACAGGAUUAGAGACCCUGGUAGUCCACGCCGUAAACGAUGAGUACUUGGUGGUGGGGGAUUCGACCCCUUCACUGUCGGAGCUAACGCGUUAAGUACUCCGCCUGGGAACUACGACCGCAAGGUUG
rnacentral:rRNA from 1 species